UACAGAGGUCUCAAGCGUUGUUCGGAUUCAUUGGGCGUAAAGGGCGCGUAGGCGGCUCGGUCAGCGUGCGGUGAAAGCCCGGGGCUCAACCCCGGGUCGGCCGUGCGAACUGCUGGGCUGGAGCACUGUAGAGGCAGGUGGAAUUCCGGGUGUAGCGGUGGAAUGCGUAGAGAUCCGGAAGAACACCGGUGGCGAAGGCGGCCUGCUGGGCAGUAGCUGACGCUGAUGCGCGACAGCGUGGGGAGCAAACAGG
rnacentral:rRNA from 1 species